CUUUGCAAUGUGCGCAAGCACGACAAGGUUAAUCCGAGUGAUUUCUGCUAAAGGAAUCUUUUGUCAGUCCUAGAAACACUAUCGAAUAAGGGGUGGGCAAAUUCUGGUGUCAGCCGCCGCGGUAAA
rnacentral:rRNA from 1 species